AGAUUGAACGCUGGCGGCAUGCCUUACACAUGCAAGUCGAACGGUAGAGUAGCAAUACUUGAGAGUGGCGAACGGGUGAGUAAUAUAUCGGAACGUGCCCAGUCGUGGGGGAUAACGUAGAGAAAUUUACGCUAAUACCGCAUACGAUCUAAAGGAUGAAAAGCGGGGGACCGUAAGGCCUCGCGCGAUUGGAGCGGCUGAUAUCAGAUUAGGUUGUUGGUGAGGUAAAAAGCUCACCAAGCCGACGAUCUGUAGCUGGUUUGAGAGAACGACCAAGCCGACACUGGGACUGAGACACGGCCCAGGAACUCCUACGGGAGGCAGGCAGUGGGGAAUUUUGGACAAUGGGCGAAAGCCUGAUCCAGCAAUGCGCGUGCAGGAAGAAGGCCUUCGGUAGUAAACGUGCUUUGUACGAACGAACGGUACUGUCUUAAUACCGAGUUGGACUAAUGAACGGUACCCGUAAGAAUAAGACACCGGACUAACGUACGU
rnacentral:rRNA from 1 species